rnacentral:rRNA from 1 species
ACUAUUGUCACGGGUUACCGCGGCUGCUGGCACGGAGUUAGCCGGUGCUUCUUCUGUGAGUGAUGUCCUUCCUGCCGGCUAUUAACCCCGCAGGCCUUCUUCCUCACUGAAAGUGCUUUACAACCCGAAGGCCUUCUUCACACACGCGGCAUGGCUGGAUCAGGGUUGCCCCCAUUGUCCAAUAUUCCCCACUGCUGCCUCCCGUAGGAGUCUGGGCCGUGUCUCAGUCCCAGUGUGGCUGAUCAUCCUCUCAGACCAGCUACGGAUCGUCGCCUUGGUGAGCCGUUACCUCACCAACCAGCUAAUCCGACAUAGGCUCAUCCGAUAGCGCGAGGCCCG